rnacentral:rRNA from 1 species
GACGAACGCUGGCGGCGUGCCUAAUACAUGCAAGUCGAACGCUUUUUCUUUCACCGGAGCUUGCUCCACCGAAAGAAAAGGAGUGGCGAACGGGUGAGUAACACGUGGGUAACCUACCCUCCAGCGGGGGAUAACACUUGGAAACAGGUGCUAAUACCGCAUAAUAGAGAAAACCGCCUGGUUUUCUUUUGAAAGGCGCAAUUGCGUCACUGGAGGAUGGACCCGCGGUGCAUUAGCUAGUUGGUGAGGUAACGGCUCACCAAGGCAACGAUGCAUAGCCGACCUGAGAGGGUGAUCGGCCACAUUGGGACUGAGACACGGCCCAAACUCCUACGGGAGGCAGCAGUAGGGAAUCUUCGGCAAUGGACGAAAGUCUGACCGAGCAACGCCGCGUGAGUGAAGAAGGUUUUCGGGUCGUAAAGCACUGUUGUAUGGGAAGAACGGGUUUAAGAGGAAAUGCUUAAGCAGUGACGGUACCAUACCAGAAAGGGACGGCUAAAUACGUGCCAGCCGCCGCCGUAACAC